rnacentral:lncRNA from 1 species
UUAAUGGCCUAACGUGUUACUCUAGGCAUUUUAAUAAAUUGAUGAAUGUAACUUCAAGAAAAGGAACCAAAUCAUCACAAAGCCUGAAAUGGCAUACUUUUUUCCUUCAUAAAUAUAUGGUCUCUAUCCUUAGCAUUGAGACAUACUGUUUUUUUGCAAACAUUAUUUCUCUUUGUAUCCUUAAUUUUUCUCCUUGCCCGAGAAUCAAGGCUUUCAGGCCCAGUGAAAUUUACUUCUCUGCCUUACCACUACUU